rnacentral:rRNA from 1 species
UACGUAGGGUGCAAGCGUUAAUCGGAAUUACUGGGCGUAAAGCGUGCGCAGGCGGUUAUGCAAGACAGAUGUGAAAUCCCCGGGCUCAACCUGGGAACUGCAUUUGUGACUGCAUAGCUAGAGUGCGGCAGAGGGAGAUGGAAUUCCAGGUGUAGCGGUGAAAUGCGUAGAUAUCUGGAGGAACACCGGUGGCGAAGGCGGCAUCCUGGACCGGUAUUGACGCUGAGGCGCGAAAGCCAGGGGAGCAAACGGG